AGGAACGCUGGCGGCGUGUCUUAAGCAUGCAAGUCGAGCGGCAAGGAAGUGCUUGCACUUCCCCGAGAGGCGGCGGACUGGUGAGUAACGCGUGGGUGAUCUACCUCGGGGUUGGGGAUAGCCAUUAGAAAUAGUGGGUAAUACCGAAUACGCUUCCAGGGCUACGGCCGUGGAAGGAAAGGCGCUACGGCGCCGACCUGAGAUGAGCCCGCGUCCCAUUAGCUAGUUGGUGAGGUAACGGCCCACCAAGGCGAUGAUGGGUAGGCGGCCUGAGAGGGUGUACGCCCACAUUGGGACUGAGAUACGGCCCAAACUCCUACGGGAGGCAGCAGCUAAGAAUAUUCCGCAAUGGACGAAAGUCUGACGGAGCGACGCCGCGUGGAUGAUGAAGGCCGGAAGGUUGUAGAAUCCUUUUGUCGGGGAAGAAUAAGCGUGGGAGGGAAUGCCCGCGUGAUGACAUGAACCGGCGAAUAAGCCCCGGCUAACUACGUG
rnacentral:rRNA from 1 species